rnacentral:rRNA from 1 species
AUGGGGCCUUCUUGGACUCCUUCAUUGCGGCAACUGCGGGACGAAUCCAAGUUGGGUAGGGGUGGGAGGGGGCAAGGCCCCCUACCCCAACAAUUUUUGUACCUACCAGCGAUCAAGCAGACACAAAAAAGAACAAAUGCAUGGCUAAUUUCGCCAGGGCCGUGGCCCGGUCGUCAGCCCCCCGUUGAACCGCGCCCUGGCCCCGGGCCUAGUCUACAAAGCCGGGCCGUACGACUACAUCAAGCAUUCAAGCUCAUGUGCGCCAUGAACUACACAACGACGCAGAUCAAGACCUUGGCGCAGUCGUCUGUCCCCGUGGACUGCAUCGGUGCAUCGCUCGAUCUCAACUACCCGUCCUUCAUCGCGUACUUUGACACGACCGGGGAGAAGACGUUCGACAGGACCGUAAUCAAUGUGCGCGAUGGGCCGGCGAGGUAUAGCGCUAUGGUGGAGGGACUGCACGGGUUGAAGGUUAGCAUCGUGCCCAACAGGGUGGUGUUCGGCUGGAAGCACGAGAAGUAG